UACAGGCUUAACACAUGCAAGUCGAGGGGCGAGCAUGGAGUUGCUUGCAAACUCUGAUGGCGACCGGCGCACGGGUGAGUAACGCGUAUCCAACCUUCCCUAUAGUAGAGGAUAGCCCGGCGAAAGUCGGAUUAAUACUCUAUGUUUCCGUUGCAGACAUCUAAGAUGGAACAAAGGCUUGCCGCUAUAGGAUGGGGAUGCGUCUGAUUAGGUAGUCGGCGGGGUAACGGCCCACCGAGCCAUCGAUCAGUAGGGGUUCUGAGAGGAAGGUCCCCCACAUUGGAACUGAGACACGGCCCAAACUCCUACGGGAGGCAGCAGUGAGGAAUAUUGGUCAAUGGACGAGAGUCUGAACCAGCCAAGUAGCGUGCAGGACGACGGCCCUAUGGGUUGUAAACUGCUUUUAUGCGGGGAUAAAGUUCACUACGUGUAGUGUUUUGUAGGUACCGCAUGAAUAAGGACCGGCUAAUUCCGUGCCAGCAGCAGC
rnacentral:rRNA from 1 species